CAGCCAUCAAUCCGACGUCAACUUCGCCAGCGGGCGUGCUCUGUCCACUGCUGCACCUGUGUGUAAAGUCAAGGUGCGCAGUGGGGACUAAGUGUCGGGGAGAAGUGUCAAGCUACCUGGCCUCAUUACUCCUGACUGCGUCAUACCUGGAUGUCGCACUCCUGGCCCCGUCACACCUGGUUGCUCCACACCGGAGCCAUGGACUCGUAUGGAGGCCAAGACACAUUUGGGAAUAACUAAACAGCUAUUCAAUAUACAUCCCUGCAGACCCGACGCAAUGCGGAAGGAAAAAAAAGCACUGUUGAUAUUGACCAAAAUUUAAUGGGCAUGCCAUUGUAUACCAAAUGAUAAAAUCACAUAAUUUCUGUUAAUAUAUGACAACGGAAGGAAUUUAGUCGGCCUAGCGCAGCUUUGCGCCCACGCUCACAGCAAGGGUUUACAGAUGCGUGGAAAUACAAGCAGCAAAAUGGAACACUCACUGAUGGGACACUUUGGGCCUGAAAUCAGCAAGAUGUAUGGGUGUAAUAAGAUGCUACUGCAUACAAAAAGAUUUGGAUUCCAAACUUUCCUUAUUCACAAUGCUCUUGAGUGCUAGAGCCAUUACUCAGCAGCUUUCAACUAAAACCCUCUCUAAGUUACACUUAGUCCCUUUAUCUUGUGUGAAAUAUUUGUCGACAGACACUACUUCAUAACCUUUAUUUGCUUCCACGCUCUGGCAGUUUCCAGCAUGUGGGGUUUUUCACGCACCAGUGUAUUGUAGGUUAAUAUUCCAGCAUGCCAUGAAAUAUUAAUCUGCUAGAAUGCGAAAGCACUCGUAGCAUAUAGACAAAGAUUUUUGUUUUUUUUUAAUAAAUGAAAUAUUAACUACUAAAUAAUGAAUGGGCCCUUAAAAAAAGGGUGAUCGUGCCUUCGGAAACAUUGACAAAAUCAAUGUGGCCACGGUCGGAGAUUUCUAUGAAAGGGAGUAACCUUCGGAAUCCAAGAGGCCACCAUGCACGGAAUGCGUAUGUCUGUUAUCUGUCAGUCACUCUGAUCAAUACUUUGACAGUCUGUCGUGCCUGUGAUGUAACCUCGUUAUUGCAUCGAUCAGGAGAUAUGCACUUGCUGGUGUGGUGGUCGGACUAGCCUUGCAGGUGGCGUCGGCGUCUAAUUUGUAUUCGUCGAAGGCCCCCAGAACCACCUCUGUCCGAGCUGUAAUGAUUGAAACAGGCUCAGAUUUGUUAAAGGGCCAGUGUACACCUAAUCGAUGGAAAGGGAGCAUUAGACCCAGGGCAGUAAUUUGGUACACAGUGUGCAGUUUAGGCAACAUUACAUUACGAGUAAUUCAAUUCGUAAGGCACCAAGCGGAGAGGUUUCUCUGCAGAAAUGAAGGUAAUUAUGAUAUUAAUUAACAAUUAAAUUGCUGUGCUUCUCAAUCACAUCGAACUUGAUGCAAUAAUUGCUUUAAGUACGGGUGUAUGAUGGUGCAAAUGCCAACCUCGUCAGGUUAAGCAUUUAACAUUAGCCCGAUGUCUUCUCAUGAAAUGCAAGAUUAAGUUUUGCGACGCAUUCAGUGCACCGGCGGUGGUGGUCAUAUGUCAUGAAAAAUUGAUGUUAUUCUGAGGGCAUCAUCAAGAUAAUUUAUCCAGAGCGUUGAUUCAAUUUUCAAACGCAGUGCACCUCAUUGGGCAGAAAUUUAUGUUGCCAUAGUAAUACUAGGCUGUGUAAAAUAUAUAUAUAUAUCUGGAACAUUUGACUGCAGAGUUGACCUAAUGGGACAAUACAGAUAACGUUAAAAACAAUGUGAGAUGGCAUAAUUACAGGACUGGUAUCCAGAGGCAAUCUUGGGGAUAUUGAGGCCCCAGCAUGUACCACUGCCUCCACUGGUGGCAUAUAUAAAUGAAAUAUUAGGCAAGCAUGGCAUUAAAGGCAAUUAUACUGUGACGGCCUGCAUAAUAACCUUACUAUCUCGGCUAAUUAGCUAGGAAAAUUGAAGUGCAGUACUUGACAAGUAAUGCUUACUUUUACCUACCUUAAAAUGCCCCACUAAGGUGGUGUAAUAUUAGAAGUGUCAGACUGGUGAUCAGCUUAGCAUGGAGUCACCGUCAUGCCACUAAGAAUUGCACUUUCAUCAUCAGAGAUUACAAUUUUUAAUAUCCUGCAGCCAAAUGUCCAGACAUCCUAUAUUGCUGUGCAACGCGGAACCUAAGAAGAACGAUGGCUGUCUGACACGUGAUGAUUCACCUCUACAGCAGUUCAAUACACGGACACGAUCCAGGGUCGUGGUUCAAUUUAAACCACAUUGCUUUUUGUGGUUUUAAACUUUUUCGUGUAAUUAUCUGGUUUGUAACGCGUCUCAUUUUUGUUUCUUAUCUAUAAUUUGUUCGCUCGAUUGUCCUAGAAGUAAUAAGAAAUAUGUUUUAUAUGGUUUACAUAUACAGGAAAGCCUUGCCCGAUGCGGCUUCAUUGAACGCGUGUUUCGGCUAUACACGGUUUACCUAAUGAGGUCUGUUUUCUGGAACAUGGGGGUGAUGUUUCGACUCCACGCGGUUUAAUGCGGCUAAUCUCAUCUCUGCGUCAAAAAGUAAGACUCCUAGAGUGGUGCAUCUGUUGGGAUGUGUGAAUGAAUCGACUGUGAGAGCUGUUUAUUUACCAUGUGUAUCUUGUGCAUGUUUUUGCGUGAUAAUGUAACACUCAACGCGCACAACACAAGUGUUUACACAUUGGCGAACACAUCUAGCCGUCCACUCGUUGCAGACGUCAGACGGAUACCUAUGUAGUGGUUCAACUCGGAGGCAGUAAUUCUUGGAGCCACUUUUAUUAUACUCACAAUCCCCCUUCACACACCCUACAUAGGCUACACACACCCUCGCCGAGACACCACACUAGCCGUCUAACACCGAUGGUGCUGACCGAUACCGCCAACAACCAUAUAACAGCGCAAUAUCAAGCGACGACGCCUGCGGCGACUAAGAGAAGAAUGGUGACGAUGGACUUGAGCAGCACGGCGGGAUCCCACUUACAAUCAACAGCCCCGAGGUCCCCUCCAGGGGCCCCUCUUAUACUGUCACGUGGCCUGGCACCGCCCCUGGCCACGCCCCCUUUCUAGAACCUACCAGCGGGUUCCUGGUGUGCCCCUUCUGUGACCUUUCUGUGACCUUUCCGCGAGAUCCUCUGGUGUAUCACGUGGCCUGCUGAUGUCAGGGCUGCCGUAAGCCGCAGAUCCCCUUCCCUGCCAGCAGCCAGCGCUAUGCUGCUACAUUACUAUUCUAUGCCACUACACCUAGAUGGCGAAUCGUCAACACGCUCUCAAGACAACGACAACAGCAAGAACGCAAAUGUUCACACAUUGACGAAUGAGGACGUUAGUCAUACGGACGUCUAGAUGUCGAAUUAUUAACGUUCAAGUGACUGUGUUAGGAACGAUAGUCAGGCUGAGAAUUCAGUGUCAGGGGAGAGUGCUGGCCCUGAGAACCGCGGUGUGGGAUAGAAGUAGAGACGGGGGUUUUGUGUUGCGGUGAAAUUGAAAACUAAGUGUGUACACACACACAAAGCAGAAAUGGACAGCGAAUCUACAUUUUUUAGUACAAUAACAUUAGUUAAAGAAAGAGGGAGGGGGUGAUCAUUUCGGAACCAGGACCGCAACCCUGCUUUUUACUUAAGGUCUAUUAUUCCUCGAACGCGGUUUUGCCCAACGCGGCAUCUUCUAGGGAUGUAACCACCGCGUUCGGCGAGGUUAGGCCUGUACCCUACAAAAGUAUACCUACAUGCUUAAUUUAACGAAUGUAUCUUGCAUACGAUAAUCGAUUUUAAUCCAUUAAAGCGUGCAUUAUACUAUGCAGGCCAGCUGUCGUGUUAAUGCUGUGUUAAGCUGCUGUGGUUGAACGGCAUGCGAUGCUUAAUAUGCUGCACAUUCUUGCAUCUGCUCCGAUGUAACCAAUUUCCCAGCACUGUUCCGUUGACAUAAAUUAAAAAGCAAACACAAAGUCAAAACAGGGCAGUGUUAAGCCCCAGACAUGGGGCGAGAGUUAGGGGUAAGGCUGGAGCUAACGAGCUGGUUAGAUAAUUCGCUUUUAUAUGUGUAAAAUAGCUGGUAUUAUCCUGCACAGGGAGCAGCACAUAUAACCAACACUCUACACAUCCGUCAAUAACACUGCCCUCAAAUUAAAAAUAACGUUUCGCCAUCAUGCUAAGUAGAAGGGCAUUGCCUAAAACGUCACCUAUUCUAUAAUUGUUUUCCUUUUUGGGGGCAUUGUUAUUGAUGGAUGCGUUGAGUUGGUGUAAAGUGGAGUUAGUCUUGCGAGUGUGUGUGCUGCCCGCUCACAGGUUUCACGUUCCUCCAUUUGCCCAGUAUGGCCUCUGUACUUUGCUUUUCAUUGUUUGGUGUUUGCAUUACUGAAGCGGUGGGUGCCACGCUCCAGAAGGAACCAUCUUACAGACGAUACGCAAUGCGAAGCGAGGAUAUGUGCACCCAAUAGAGAGUAUGAACAUCACAGAUCAUGUGAGCUGCUUCAAUAGAUCAGGGGGGUUAACCCUAGCCUUCUGGCUAAAAUCUCACUACAGCUCAAUCGGAUCUCCUGCCUUUUCCAAAUUCCCUUCACGUGACUUAUUUGUAAACAUUUUAUUUUGCCCCGUAUGGUGGUUGAACAUCACUGUCAACAUGGUGUAUACGGCUCAUAUGGAUGUGUAUUGUGAGUUCUAAAUAUCGCUUUAAAAAAAAAUCUAAAUAUUGAUGUGCACCAGUUAAAAUCAGCGGUGACAUUGAAUACGCUGAUCACGAAUCCUGAGACGUUAUAAAAGAUUAUAAUCCCUCUUAAGUUGGGAGAACACAACACGUUGGUAGCCAGAUGGUUAAUAUUCCACACGCUCCUCUUGAAUGCAUCCAACGUAAAGCACAAACAAUGUAUUGUACAGCAUACAUUUCAACGCGAAGCCAAUAAUCGAGUAAUUUUCCAGACUAGGUGAGAAUAGCUGCACUGGCAAUUUCCAUGCAAUGUUUGACACGUGACUAUCUGUUAACAAUGCUCCAGAUGUUGUGCAAGCAGCAUGACUAUGAGGCAAAGACACGGUCGCAAUACGCAACGUGUGUUCAUCAGAAUAUGUAUUUAACCUAGAAUAAUCCGAUGAGCUACACAGAUAUACAUUGUACUCGGGUAAUAAAGUAAAGUUGUGGCCCACAUUUUUCGAUUUAAAGCUUUCGUGACUGCAUGGAUUCAUCUUCC